UACGGAGGAUCCGAGCGUUAUCCGGAUUUAUUGGGUUUAAAGGGUGCGCAGGCGGGAGAUUAAGUCGGCGGUGAAAUUUUGCAGCUCAACUGUAAAAGUGCCUUCGAAACUGGUUUCCUUGAGUGUGGAUGAAGUAGGCGGAAUUUGUGGUGUAGCGGUGAAAUGCAUAGAUAUCACGAGGAACUCCGAUUGCGCAUGCAGCUUACUAAACCAUAACUGACGCUCAGGCACGAAGGCGUGGGGAUCAAACAGGAUUAGAUACCCU
rnacentral:rRNA from 1 species